UCUAAAUCGCUGUCUCCGCCCAGCUAUCAUUUGAAUCAGCACAAGAUACAAUUGUAGAGAUAGCAAACACAUGCUCGGAAAUGCUCUGUGCUUUCGAUAAACUCAACAAGAAAUCGGGAGGCAGUAAGGAUGAAAAAUAGUUCUCAUUCCGGUAACUCUGCACAAAGCAUGCCUCCAUUUAUGCUACCACCUGCUAUGCUUUUCCUCUCUUCUGAACUUAACAACUCGGACAUACGUGUCGAUAUU